rnacentral:rRNA from 1 species
AGCGAACGCUGGCGGCAGGCCUAACACAUGCAAGUCGAACGAAGUCUUCGGACUUAGUGGCGGACGGGUGAGUAACACGUGGGAACGUACCUUUUGGUUCGGAACGACUCAGGGAAACUUGAGCUAAUACCGGAUGAGCCCUUAGGGGGAAAGAUUUAUCGCCGAAAGAGCGGCCCGCGUUAGAUUAGCUAGUUGGUGAGGUAAAGGCUCACCAAGGCUACGAUCUAUAGCUGGUCUGAGAGGAUGAUCGGCCACACUGGGACUGAGACACGGCCCAGACUCCUACGGGAGGCAGCAGUGGGGAAUCUUGCGCAAUGGGCGAAAGCCUGACGCAGCCAUGCCGCGUGAAUGAUGAAGGUCUUAGGAUUGUAAAAUUCUUUUACCAGGGACGAUAAUGACGGUACCUGGAGAAAAAGCCCCGGCUAACUUCGUGCCAGCAGCCGCGGUAACAC